UCCACGCAUGAAUAUGUAUUCCAAGAGGAGGAGGGCAAAAGGAACAUUGUCAAUAGAUGACAAAGCAUGGGAAAAGGCCGGAUGUGGAAAUGGAAUCGUGAGUCGGGAGGAAACGUGAGCAUUUCUCUAUGACUGCAGAAUAAACGACAGAUGGUGAAUCAUUCCCUUUUCAUUUGGAUGCAUCUGAAGAAGUCUUUGAAUUUCUGCAGGUGAAGAAGGACUGAAGAAGAAAGAAGCUGUCAGCAGUUUGAUUUCAGAAUAAAUCAUCUCUAUGACUAUCAAACCUAUUAAACUACCAAGAUGAGAACCUCUUAACUGAAUUUCAGUGAUUAUUGUUCUACAAAUAUGUGAUGUUUCUUGACUUUGCAACACAUUACAAAUGGCACUCAAUCCCAGAAAGAGGCAAGUAUUUCCCAUAUAAUGAGGAGGUGAAAAAAGAAAAUGUUGUGGUGCAGAAUUCCAAUAAACAUUCAGG
rnacentral:lncRNA from 1 species